rnacentral:rRNA from 1 species
UACGGGGGAGCAAGCGUUGUUCGGAUUUACUGGGCGUAAAGGGCGCGUAGGCGGCCACCGCAAGUCGAUUGUGAAAUCUCCGGGCUUAACUCGGAAAGGUCAACCGAUACUGCGGGGCUAGAGUGCAGAAGGGGCAACUGGAAUUCUCGGUGUAGCGGUGAAAUGCGUAGAUAUCGAGAGGAACACCUGCGGCGAAGGCGGGUUGCUGGGCUGACACUGACGCUGAUGUGCGAAAGCUAGGGGAGCGAACGGG